GCCAGAUUGGCAUAGUGAUUUGAGCGUAGAUCUAUGACUCUGGAGACCAGGGUUCGAAUCCCUGCUUGGCCA